rnacentral:rRNA from 1 species
UACGUAGGGUGCAAGCGUUGUCCGGAAUUAUUGGGCGUAAAGAGCUCGUAGGCGGUGUGUCGCGUCGGCCGUGAAAACCUGCAGCUUAACUGUGGGCGUGCGGUCGAUACGGGCAUCACUGGAGUUCGGCAGGGGAGACUGGAAUUCCUGGUGUAGCGGUGAAAUGCGCAGAUAUCAGGAGGAACACCGGUGGCGAAGGCAGGUCUCUGGGCCGAUACUGACGCUGAGGAGCGAAAGCGUGGGGAGCGAACAGG